CGCGGGAUCCGGCCACGCGUGUCGGUGCCGGCGCGGGGACCUCCCGCUCCGCUCCCAGGUUCCAGAGCCAGGGGACAGUGACGCAGCUCUGAUCCAACGGCUGCAGUGCUGCAGAAUUGCCAGCUUUCAUCCCAAGCUUCCUCCCUGCCUGUGAUCACAGGAUCCACUGUCAGCACCGGAGACAGCACUGCCCUCUCAGACACUGUAGAAAAAGUAAAAUAAACCCUCUAAUCCAG